rnacentral:rRNA from 1 species
UACGUAGGGGGCGAGCGUUGUCCGGAAUCAUUGGGCGUAAAGCGCGUGUAGGCGGCUCGGUAAGUCCGGUGUGAAACCUUGGGGCUCAACCCCAAGCCUGCACUGGAUACUGUCGAGCUCGAGUCCGGGAGGGGAGAGCGGAAUUCCUAGUGUAGCGGUGAAAUGCGCAGAUAUUAGGAAGAACACCGGUGGCGAAGGCGGCUACUCUGGAACGGUACUGACGCUGAGACGCGAAAGCGUGGGGAGCGAACAGG